rnacentral:misc_RNA from 1 species
AAUUAUUGAGAAUUAGUUCUCUUGCCCUAAGGUUAAUUCCUUGUUCCUCUCUUGUUCUACAUCAGCAAGUUACUUGGUUCACGUGUCUUAAGUGUCCUUGCAUCACUAAAGGAAGCAUAGACGUAUGGAGCAUCCCAUAGAGCCUAUUAUGAGGAAAUUUCUAUUGUAUUUCACAUUGAUUUGAUAUAAAAAUAUAUACACCUUUCUUCCCAUCAUAACAGGAAUGCAAUCCCUGUAAUUAUGCUAACCUAACUAAUUAAGAAUAUAAAUCCAGCACUAAAUAAGAAUACUACACAAAAAAUAGGAAUACUACACAUGAUAGGCGUUUUUCUUUCUUGCAAAUAUUCUAUUCUUAGUGAAUGGUUUGCCUUUGAUCAAAUUAGGGAGUUGGACUUGGUACAGACCACAAAAACUAGACCAAGGUGUUUUUUUUUUUUUUUAAAUGAAGAUACAUGAAGGAAAAUUUAUGAAAAUGCAUACAGCAAUGAGCAUAAAGCUGAUCAGAAUAAAUCAAAUCACAUCAUUUCUAACACUAACAACCCUCGUAUGUACCAAAAAAAUAAUUACCUCUAAAUUAGGCCAACUCAUCAUUUCCUCUGCUAGUAUUUGGAGUGCAACACGAUUUUUUGGGACUUUACCUUCAUUCACCUAUUAAACAAAGAAUUAUAGGAUAACAAAAUAAAUGAGAUAAAGUUUUAGAUUUUACAUUAUAUGAAAGAAAAAGCUUCUUCUUCUCCUUCUAUGGUAAGACAAAAGGUCUCAAAUCUCAAAAUUUUGGCGCACCAACAUUUUAAUGCUUUAGUAUUCUAAAGUCAAGUGUAUCCAUCAACUAAACUUUAGCCCGCACAUUGUGUGGUAAAUUUUCUUAUUAUAAAUUUAUAUUUGAAUUCACGUUCAUAGUAUCAAAAUGACCAAUUUUCUAAAUUAAAAAAUAAAAAAUGUAAUAUUAGUAUAAAUCAAAUGAAAAGGUUUAUGAAACAACUCUAACAUGAAUGAUAAAUAAUCAAGAAGACUUUUUCACAUAUCAAAAUGGCAAUUCUUUUGAGAGUAUCCUUUGACGGUGUUUAUGAGAUGAGGUUGUAAUUUUUUUUUUUUUUUAAUCUCUUGGAAUCUAUUUUGAUGCUAGCUAGUUACUAUUAGUGGGUCAUGCACCUUUGCAAUUAGUUGACAAACAACAUUUUGAUGCAAUGUAAAGGAAUAUUUUGAGAAACCCAAAAAUAGGGAAGAAAUUGGUCCUUUUUUUGCUACAUUAUUAGGAAAAAAAAAUUGAUGAAAAGACAUGCUUGGCUUGUACAUUUGAUUUGAUUUGACUAAUUGGAGCAUUUGGGUCAAUAAUGUGGCCACGAUAAUUGUCAAUUUUCA